CCCCUGUAGUCCUAGCCGUAAACGAUGGAUACUACAUGUUGUGCAUUACGUACAGUAUGGUAGCUAACGCGUUAAGUAUCCCGCCUGGGGAGUACGCUCGCAAGGGUGAAACUCAAAGGAAUUGACGGGGGCCCGCACAAGCGGUGGAGCAUGUGGUUUAAUUCGAUGCAACGCGAAGAACCUUACCAGGACUUGACAUACUACAAAUUCUUUUGAGAAAGAGAAGUGCCUUCGGGAAUGUAGAUACAGGUGGUGCAUGGCUGUCGUCAGCUCGUGUCGUGAGAUGUUGGGUUAAGUCCCGCAACGAGCGCAACCCUUAUUUUUAGUUACCAAUUCGUUGGGUUCUCUAGAAAGACUGCCGGUGACAAACCGGAGGAAGGUGAGGAUGACGUCAAGUCAGCAUGCCCCUUAUGUCCUGGGCUACACACGUGCUACAAUGGUUAAGACAAAGAGUCGCGAGCUCGUGAGAGUCAGCUAAUCUCAUAAACUUAGCCCAAGUUCAGAUUGUAGGCUGCAACUCGCCUACAUGAAGUUGGAAUCGCUAGUAAUCGCUGGUCAGCCAUACAGCGGUGAAUCCGUUCCCGGGACUUGUACACAC
rnacentral:rRNA from 1 species